GAAGAAGCCCCCGGCCUAAAUUCCGUGCCAGCAGCCGCGGUAAUUCGGAGGGUGCGAGCGUUAAAUUGGAAUUUCUGGGCGUAAAGCGCAUGCAGGUGGUUUGUUAAGUCAGAUGUGAAAGCCCGGGGCUCAACCUCGGAAUUGCAUUUGAAACUGGCAAACUAGAGUACUGUAGAGGGGGGUAGAAUUUCAGGUGUAGCGGUGAAAUGCGUAGAGAUCUGAAGGAAUACCGGUGGCGAAGGCGGCCCCCUGGACAGAUACUGACACUCAGAUGCGAAAGCGUGGGGAGCAAACAGGAUUAGAUACCCUGGUAGUCCACGCCGUAAACGAUGUCUACUUGGAGGUUGUGGCCUUGAGCCGUGGCUUUCGGAGCUAACGCGUUAAGUAGACCGCCUGGGGAGUACGGUCGCAAGAUUAAAACUCAAAUGAAUUGACGGGGGCCCGCACAAGCGGUGGAGCAUGUGGUUUAAUUCGAUGCAACGCGAAGAACCUUACCUACUCUUGACAUCUACAGAAGCCAGCGGAGACGCAGGUGUGCCUUCGGGAACUGUAAGACAGGUGCUGCAUGGCUGUCGUCAGCUCGUGUUGUGAAAUGUUGGGUUAAGUCCCGCAACGAGCGCAACCCUUAUCCUUGUUUGCCAGCACUUCGGGUGGGAACUCCAGGGAGACUGCCGGUGAUAAACCGGAGGAAGGUGGGGACGACGUCAAGUCAUCAUGGCCCUUACGAGUAGGGCUACACACGUGCUACAAUGGCGCAUACAGAGGGCGGCCAACUUGCGAAAGUGAGCGAAUCCCAAAAAGUGCGUCGUAGUCCGGAUUGGAGUCUGCAACUCGACUCCAUGAAGUCGGAAUCGCUAGUAAUCGUGGAUCAGAAUGCCACGGUGAAUACGUUCCCGGGCCUUGUACACACCGCCCGUCACACCAUGGGAGUGGGCUGCAAAAGAAGUGGGUAGUUUAACCUUCGGGAGGACGCUCACCACUUUGUGGUUCAUGACUGGGGGGAAGUCGUAACAAGGUAACCG
rnacentral:rRNA from 1 species